rnacentral:rRNA from 1 species
UGGGGAAUAUUGCACAAUGGGCGCAAGCCUGAUGCAGCCAUGCCGCGUGUGUGAAGAAGGCCUUCGGGUUGUAAAGCACUUUUAGCGGGGAGGAAGGCGAUAAGGUUAAUAACCUUGUCGAUUGACGUUACCCGCAGAAGAAGCACCGGCUAACUCCGUGCCAGCAGCCGCGGUAAUACGGAGGGUGCAAGCGUUAAUCGGAAUUACUGGGCGUAAAGCGCACGCAGGCGGUCUGUCAAGUCGGAUGUGAAAUCCCCGGGCUUAACCUGGGAACUGCAUUCGAAACUGGCAGGCUAGAGUCUUGUAGAGGGGGGUAGAAUUCCAGGUGUAGCGGUGAAAUGCGUAGAGAUCUGGAGGAAUACCGGUGGCGAAGGCGGCCCCCUAGACGAAGACUGACGCUCAGGUGCGAAAGCGUGGGGAGCAAACAGG